ensembl:snRNA U6 U6 spliceosomal RNA
AAUCACAUUUGGCUAAUUACUAAAAUUGGAACAAUACAGAGAAGAUUAGCAUGGCCUCCUGUGCGCAAGGGCAACACGCAAAAUCGUGAAGCGCCAAUACUUAUU